UACGAAGGGGGCUAGCGUUGUUCGGAAUUACUGGGCGUAAAGCGCACGUAGGCGGGUCGUUAAGUCAGGGGUGAAAUCCUGGAGCUCAACUCCAGAACUGCCUUUGAUACUGAAGAUCUUGAGUUCGGGAGAGGUGAGUGGAACUGCGAGUGUAGAGGUGAAAUUCGUAGAUAUUCGGAAGAACACCAGUGGCGAAGGCGGCUCACUGGCCCGGUACUGACGCUGAGGUGCGAAAGCGUGGGGAGCAAACAGG
rnacentral:rRNA from 1 species